GACAGUCAUUGGCUACUGACAAGCUUAGUACAACAGAACUUGCAACCAUGAACCACAAACUACAACUCCUCUUUUUGUUCAUUUCCAUGAUUCUGUUGUCAGGAAUUUCCGUGACACAAGCAAUUGGACGAUCUGCGUGCAAAUGGCCAAAACAUCAUAUUUGCGCAGACCCGCGCAUAGCUGAACUGUGCAAGGUCGAGUGUCCAGAACAAGGCUGUUAGUCAUCUGCAUAUAUUAGUUAUCUACAGCUUAUAUGAAGAUCAACCGACUACGAUGAAAUUUUCCGUAUGCAUAUUAGUAACCAGGAUCAAGAAAACAGAUUUUUUAAAUUAGCGUUGUAGGCUGAUAUAAUAAAAUUGAAAAAUAUAUAAUAA